CGCGGUAAUUCCAGCUCCAAUAGCGUAUACUAAAGUGUUGCAGUUAAAAAGCUCGUAGUUGGAUUUCUGGCGGGGACGGCUGGUCGGUCUCGAAAGGGGCUGUACUGUUGUUGGUUCCCGUCAUCCUUGGGGAGAGCGGCUCUUACAUUAAGUUGUCGGCGUCGGGAUCCCUAUCUUUUACUGUGAAAAAAUUAGAGUGUUCAAAGCAGGCUUAGGCCCUGAAUACAUUAGCAUGGAAUAAUAAGAUACGACCUUGGUGGUCUAUUUUGUUGGUUUGCACGCCAAGGUAAUGAUUAAUAGGGAUAGUUGGGGGUAUUCGUAUUCAAGUGUCAGAGGUGAAAUUCUUGGAUUUAUGGAAGACGAACUACUGCGAAAGCAUUUACCAAGGAUGUUUUCAUUAAUCAAGAACGAAAGUUAGGGGAUCGAAGAUGAUUAGAUACCAUCGUAGUCUUAACCAUAAACUAUGCCGACUAGGGAUCGGUGGGUGCAUUUUUAGGCCUCAUCGGCACCUUAUGAGAAAUCAAAGUCUUUGGGUUCCGGGGGGAGUAUGGUCGCAAGGCUGAAACUUAAAGAAAUUGACGG
rnacentral:rRNA from 1 species